AACAAACGCUGGCGGCGUGCCUAAUACAUGCAAGUCGAACGAGGAAGUACCUUCGGGUAUUGUACUAGUGGCGUACGGGUGAGUAACGCGUGGAUAAUCUUCCUCUAGGUGGGGAAUAACCAGUCGAAAGAUUGGGCUAAUACCGCAUAAGACCACAAUGCCCACGGGCAAAGGGGUUAAAGGCGAAAGUCGCCUGGAGAUGAGUCUGCGCCCGAUUAGCUAGUUGGUGAGGUAAAAGCUCACCAAGGCGACGAUCGGUAGCUGGUCUGAGAGGACGGCCAGCCACACUGGGACUGAGACACGGCCCAGACUCCUACGGGAGGCAGCAGUAGGGAAUAUUGCACAAUGGAGGAAACUCUGAUGCA
rnacentral:rRNA from 1 species